rnacentral:rRNA from 1 species
AUACGGAGGGGGCUAGCGUUGUUCGGAAUUACUGGGCGUCAAGGGCGCGUAGGCGGAUUGUCAAGUCAGAGGUGAAAGCCCUGGGCUCAACCUGGGAACUGCCUUUGAAACUAACGGUCUAGAGGCCGAGAGAGGAUGGCGGAAUUCCCAGUGUAGAGGUGAAAUUCGUAGAUAUUGGGAAGAACACCAGUGGCGAAGGCGGUCAUCUGGUCCGGUACUGACGCUGAGGCGCGAAAGCGUGGGGAGCAAACAGGAUUAGAAACCCCAGUAGUCC